GAUGCAACGCGAAGAACCUUACCUGGUCUUGACAUCCCGGAGACCCUUAGGAAACUAGGGGUGCUUCCAUCUGGAAGAAUCUGGAGACAGGUGCUGCAUGGCUGUCGUCAGCUCGUGUCGUGAGAUGUUGGGUUAAGUCCCGCAACGAGCGCAACCCUUGCCUUUAGUUGCCAGCAGUUCGGCUGGGCACUCUAAAGGGACUGCCGGUGGUUAAACCGGAGGAAGGUGGGGAUGACGUCAAGUCCUCAUGGCCUUUAUGACCAGGGCUACACACGUACUACAAUGGCCGAUACAAAGGGCAGCGACACUGCGAGGUGAAGCCAAUCCCGUAAAAUCGGUCUCAGUCCGGAUUGGAGUCUGCAACUCGACUCCAUGAAGUUGGAAUCGCUAGUAAUCGUGGAUCAGCAUGCCACGGUGAAUACGUUCCCGGGCCUU
rnacentral:rRNA from 1 species